CUGAUUCCAGCGCUUACUUCUUCUUUCUUCCAGAAACACACAGAGAGCACGAGAGAUGGACAUGGGGAAAAAGAAGUUGUGCUGCUCUGUUGCCAGUGGCCCAUGCCGCUAUCGAAUUCCCCUCCCCCUUCGCUAUCUCUCCUCCUCCUAUCCCUCCUCCGCUUCCGCUCCUCGCGCCUCCCCUCUUUCUCUUACACGGAGAACAGAUAAGGGCUAACCGUAGAGAUGCGGCAACGAUCCCUGCGAUGGCGGGAUCGAUCGCGGUUUCCCCUCGGCUUUCUCCUACCUCGUGCUAGGAGCCAUUCAUCCAGCGUGACCUUCUCUCUGCACUUAGGCAUGCCUGCUCCCACCCCCCCUUUUGUGGCUACAAUAGGGAUGGUUUUCUGCCCUGCUACAAUUUUAGUUUUUUCUUUUCAUUGAUUGGUUGGUUGAUUGAUAAAAUGUCCGUGCGGUGUCUGGUUUAGUGUGGAGAAAUCUUCACAAAAAUACAUAUGUAUUGUAUUCUUUGAUGUUGCUAUUUCAUGCCCUCUAACUGUUUGUUAGUAUGCCUACAAGAACUAAGCAUCUUUUUUAUGUUUCUAUUCUAUAUCUUGAUCCAGUUAGGACUUUUUUGUGUGUACAGGACAACCCCAAUGAUCAUUCACCCAUUCCAUGUGUCGUGCUUAUCUUGAAAAACGGAUGUGCCAUAUAACUAAGUUGCUGGAGUGUACAAAUAUGGCAUGGUUGCCACUUCGGCAGAUUGUUCACUAGGUAUUGGAUUGAGAAGGGCAAAGCAUUUCAAAAGAAGCGUCAACCAUUGACUAGCAAUUUUGAUGCACCGAUUACCCUAAGAAGGCAAGCUAUUGAUCAUGUAGUUCAAAGAAAAAAUUGAGUCAAUUUUUAAAAGCUUCUUAUCACAGUUGUUUCACAUGUUUCCUAGCAUGAUGGAAGAUGAUAUGGUGAAUAACAUGAA